rnacentral:rRNA from 1 species
GAUGAACGCUGACAGAAUGCUUAACACAUGCAAGUCAACUGUGGCGGACGGGUGAGUAACGCGUAAAGAACUUGCCUCACAGAUAGGGACAACAUUUGGAAACGAAUGCUAAUACCUGAUACUGUGAGAGAGCUUUGCGUCCCAUUAGCUAGUUGGAGAGGUAACGGCUCACCAAUGCGAUGAUGGGUAGCCGGCCUGAGAGGGUGAUAGGCCACAAGGGGACUGGGACACGGGCCGUACUCAUACGGGAGGCAGGAGUGGGGAAUAGUGGACAAUGGACCAAAGUCUGAUCAAGGAAUUCGGGUUGUACGAUGAAGUUUUCGGAAUGUAGAGUGCUUUCAGUUGAGAAGCGGUACCAGCAGAAGAAGCGACGGCUAAAUACGUGCCAGCAGCCGCGGUAAUUC